rnacentral:rRNA from 1 species
GGAAGCCGUAGAGAAAUCGAGUCCGAAUAGGGCGUUCAGUCGCUGGGUGUAGACCCGAAACCAAGUGAUCUAUCCAUGGCCAGGAUGAAGGUGCCGUAACAGGUACUGGAGGUCCGAACCCACUAGUGUUGCAAAACUAGGGGAUGAGCUGUGGAUAGGGGUGAAAGGCUAAACAAACUUGGAAAUAGCUGGUUCUCUCCGAAAACUAUUUAGGUAGUGCCUCAAGUAUUACCUGCGGGGGUAGAGCACUGUUUAGGCUAGGGGGUCAUGGCGACUUACCAAACCUAUGCAAACUCCGAAUACCGCAGAGUACAGCUUGGGAGACAGAGCACCGGGUGCUAACGUCCGGACUCAAGAGGGAAACAACCCAGACCGCCAGCUAAGGUCCCUAAAAUUGGCUAAGUGGGAAACGAAGUGGGAAGGCUAAAACAGUCAGGAUGUUGGCUUAGAAGCAGCCAUCAUUUAA